rnacentral:rRNA from 1 species
UAGGGAAUCUUCCGCAAUGGGCGAAAGCCUGACGGAGCAACGCCGCGUGAGUGAUGAAGGUCUUCGGAUCGUAAAACUCUGUUAUUAGGGAAGAACAAAUGUGUAAGUAACUAUGCACGUCUUGACGGUACCUAAUCAGAAAGCUACGGCUAACUACGUGCCAGCAGCCGCGGUAAUACGUAGGUGGCAAGCGUUAUCCGGAAUUAUUGGGCGUAAAGCGCGCGUAGGCGGUUUUUUAAGUCUGAUGUGAAAGCCAACGGCUCAACCGUGGAGGGUCAUUGGAAACUGGAAAACUUGAGUGCAGAAGAGGAAAGUGGAAUUCCAUGUGUAGCGGUGAAAUGCGCAGAGAUAUGGAGGAACACCAGUGGCGAAGGCGACUUUCUGGUCUGUAACUGACGCUGAUGUGCGAAAGCGUGGGGAUCAAACAGG